AUGUCCGUCGAUGAUUCCUGCGAUGGACUGUUUCUUGCCCGCAUUUCUACUGGGGCGUGGAAAUUUCGCUACAUGGUCUCCAAUCCAGCCACCGGUGAGUACACUUUGCUGCCCCCCAAUGGCCACGCCGGCUACGACAGCAUUGCUUACCUGGGUUUCGACAGUGGCGCGUCCACUCGAGAAUUUCAUGUAUUCGAGUUUCUACACGAAUGGUCGCGCCAGAACUGGGGCUCCAAGUCCCUGUUUGUGAGAGCAGUGAGGAUUUACUCCUCAAAAACUGGUGCAUGGGUAGCAAUGGAACCCCAAUGGGACGUCGAUGUCGGCUUGUGCUUUGAUCAGCCUGGAGUUUUCUGUAAUGGGUGUUUGCACUUGCUCACAUAUCAGUCCGGGUUGGCGAUAGUUGAUGCACAAGGGGCAAAAUGGAGAACCCUCCUGCUGCCAAUACUCGCGGCUAAGGGUUUCUCAGGUUUCAUCGGGAAGUCUGCCGGACAGCUACUUUAUAUCGACCCCCGUGAUAGUCAAGGAUACGGCUCAAACAGAUCUUUGACUAUAUCACUUUACGUUCUCAGUGUUGAGAUUCAUAACUGGGAUGUGUCCCACUCCCACCUGGACGACGAAUGCAUGUACUGGAAUAUGUUGCGCAAGUUUUCAAAUGCAGUUCCAAAGAAGAAGUUUAUCAAAGUCAUUGGUGUACACCCACAUGCCAAUCUGAUCUUCAUGGCUUAUUCAAACAGUGAACUGUUGGCAUACGAUUUGGAUCACCGUGAAAGUACAAUUGUAUAUAUAUCACCUUGA
rnacentral:rRNA from 1 species